CGCGGGAUGACGCAGUUCGGCAGCGUGCCAGGCUCAUAACCUGGAGGUCGCGGGUUCAAAUCCCGCUCCCGCUA
rnacentral:tRNA from 1 species